AUUAGUUUAAUUUAUAAUAAGAAUGUUACAUUGUGGAUGUAGAUGAAGGACGUAGUCUUAACUAAUA
rnacentral:tRNA from 1 species